GUAACAGGCAUACCCGAAUAUCCACAGGUUUGCUUCUGUAGACUCAUGCUACAAUUCCACUACAUUUGGAUUUUAUCGCCAUUGCUCACAGAAACUUUACGGGUCCCCUUUUACAGCAGCAUCUGAGAGGUCACCAUAUCAUACAUAUCCAAAAAGCUCCAAUGAAGAGACAGAAAUGAUAAAGUAAGUUUACAGAUUAAUUAUUCUCAGCUAAACGGGUAUAAUCAGUGAUGAUCAAUCAAUUUAUCAGCAAUUUUGUAAAUGCUUCUUUCUUCUAUUCGUGACAUUUUAUCAUAGCAGUUAAAUUCCUUUUCAUAUGCUAUAAAAUGGAAUCUAAAAGGGAGGACUAACCUGAUAACAAAUUGGGACAGGUCUCCAUUCACUAGAGGUAGAAGUUCACUUAACAAAUAUGAGCCUUACACACCAGAGAUGGAUAUAUCAUUUGUGAGCAGUGGAAGGUCAAACAGCA
rnacentral:lncRNA from 1 species